rnacentral:rRNA from 1 species
GAUGAACGCUGGCGGCGUGCCUAAUACAUGCAAGUCGAGCGGUAAGGCCCUUUCGGGGGUACACGAGCGGCGGACGGCUGAGUAGCACGUAGGAACGUACCCCAAAGUGAGGGAUAAGCACCAGAAAUGGUGUCUAAUACCGCAUGCGCUCUAAGGAGUAAAGCUUCGGCGCUUUGGGAACGGCCUGCGUCCGAUUAGCUAGUUGGUAAGGUAAAAGCUUACCAAGGCGACGAUCGGUAGCUGGUCUGAGAGGAUGAUCAGCCAGACUGGGACUGAGACACGGCCCAGACUCCUACGGGAGGCAGCAGUAGGGAAUUUUCCACAAUGGGCGAAAGCCUGAUGGAGCAACGCCGCGUGCAGGAUGAAUGCCUUCGGGUUGUAAACUGCUUUUAUCUGUGACGAUUAUGACGGUAGCAGAUGAAUAAGGAUCGGCUAACUCCGUGCCAGCAGCCGCAGUAA